rnacentral:lncRNA from 1 species
AUGAGUAAAAAGCAAACAAGUGGGGGUUUGUAGAAUCCAAUACACAAAAUAUAAAAUAAACAAUAAGUAGAAUAAUAUUAAACAAACUCUUGACUGUAAAUUUGAAACUAAAACAAUUAUAAGAAGAAUUCCUAAUCGAUGAAAUAGUUAGCUCUGGUAAUAUAAUUGAUCAUACAUACAAGGGUGCAUUUUAACCAAAAUAUGGCAAAUCAGUUAUAGUUGUCGGAAACGUUCCAACAACCAAUCCUUCUUUAUUCCUAAACCAAUAAAGAAAUAUUCAUUAGUUGGUUCUUCACUGCCAAGCAGUCAUCGAAACACCCACAGAAUUUAACUUGUCAAUGGCUUUGAGAGCUAGAAGGACCUGAUUCAAGUUGUCGGAUUCAUCCGCGUGAACUAUUCAACUAGAAUACUUACAUCCUUAGUGUUGAACUGAUCGCUACUUGAUGUCGAAACCAUUCAAACAAUUUUAAAUUUGAGAGGUUCAGCUAUCUUCUUUCAGUUUCUCUUCUCAUAUGACGGGCUCUAUUCAAACGGGUUCAAAACAACAAAUAUAUAUUGGUGCAAGAAGUAAAUAAAUACUAGCUCUAAAAUAAAACUCAAAUUAAUUCGAUUAGAUCUAACAAAUACAUUACUGGAGAUUGCUAGAUCUAUCAACUAGGAAAAGAAAAAUAAAUCAACUACUAUGGUGGACUUUUUAACACAAAUGAGUUCUUGGAGAGUAUUAGAAAGAAGAAAGAUAAAAAAAAUUACAGAAGUUGUUGUGUACGACAUCGAGAAGAAGAGAGAUGAUGAUUCUGCUUUGACAGUCGCCCUCUUUAUAUAAAAAGAGAUAAGGUUUUUUUGUUUUAUUAAUUAGGUUCUUUUUCCUUAUUUUUGGUUUAUCCCAAGCUUUCUAGAGUAUGUUCCCCUUUAGUUUGGCCCCAAAUCUUAGCUUGAAUGAUAUCUUUUUUACAUAUUUAAAAAGCAAACAUUUUAAUUUAAAUCUGCUAUUGUGCGCGACUUUUAGCCUUGAUCAAGGCUAAGUUGUCUGAGGCAGGACCCAAGCUUUGGCCAAGACUUGUUUCUGGGCUGAUGAUUAUUUUCACAAACUCUUCCUCCUUUUAUAUUAUUUUUUCAAGUUUCCUCCUUAUGUCCUGUAUUGCAACAAAACAUAGAAAGCAACUCGGAUUAGAUAACAUACCAUCAAGUUUAACAACCCAAAAGUGGGUGAUAAUGAUGUCCUUUUUAGGCAUUAUCAAACUCCCCCACACUUAUCUUGUGUUUACCCUCAAGGACUACACAAUACACUCCAUCAAUCCCCAUCUCUUCACCUUCAACUCACUUACUCCCAAUCAUUUCAUCACAACCCGCAUGUUACACCUCAACUCUCAAGUUGCGAGAAUAACCUUCAACUAGUAAUUUAUAGGUUUGAGUUUUAUAGAACCACACAAAUGAAUAACCACUUUGACAACAUCCAAACACUACAUAAAAGAGUUUUGUAAAUUUAACACAAAAAAAUUUCAUUGAGGGGAAUAGCCAAGAUCUAGCAGAACAACCAACAAACUUUUUUAGAUACAUGGAUUCAUGCAAUUGGUCCAUGCCAUAAAUAAAAAAGCUUGAGCACCUUUACUUACUUGAAAUGCCAUCAACCUUUUGACGCAAGGGUAAACAUUUAUGAUGAAUGCACCUGGUUACUUAGUUGAUUCACUAGUUUUAUGUGGCUACUAGUGCUACUCAUAGUCAUUUAACUAGAGGACUAGAUUAUUAUGCAUGCUCUCUUUUUUUUUCCUUUCAUUGUGUGUGCGUUUUAUCUCCAUCUCACACUUUUACUUCAAUUGUUUUUCAAAGUGAGUGCAUUUUACACUUCAUCUCACUCUCACAUAAUAGAUAAUUUGAUUUAUUCAUUUAAAGCACAAAAUUCCAGAUAAGUUGUAGAUGAGUUCUUUCUAAGUAUUGAUAUUCAUUCAAAAAUAAGAGAUAAUUAAUUUUUUAAUAGACAACUAUCAAACAAGUCAUGUUCAAUAUGUAAUCAAAGAUAACCAUUUAUGGUGUGAAAAAAUGAAAAAUAGGCUAAAAUUCUUAGGAGAUGGUUAUAAGUGCAAAUCGACUUUUGAAAUGCCCCAUUAGAGUUGUUUAAAAAUAAUAGAGAUAGUUGUGAAGAUUGGAGCAAAAUAAAUUGUUGGAGGUGUAUGUGUGGUGUGGCAAAAAUUAGGCAAGGUCUAAAUACCUAGAAUGAGAUGUUAAAAAGAAAAACUAGCUACCUAAGAUGCAGAAUGCAGAAUGUCUCUCCCCUACACUUAAACUAUAUAUUGUCCCUAAUGUGAUGCAAAUAAUGAAAAUUAAAAAUAAAGUCACAGAUUAACUCCCCUUGUUAUUUGACUUAGAGGUGGGAUGCAUUGGGAAACAUCAGUUUUUUAGAAACACCAAAUGUUUUGCCAUGUGAGAUAAGCCUUGGGCAAGGCUUAUGUGGGGAAUGACACAUGGCCAUGUCGAGCAUGCAUGCAACCACAUAUUUCUUUGGAUUUUGUUGAUUUCCUUGUAUAGAUAUGACACGGCCGUGUUUCCCUCAUAAAAAUGCUUUUGUGGUAGCACAUAAUCGUGUCUUAAGAGUCUGGUACAUGCCUUAAGCAAGGCUUAUGUGUAGAUUAACACAUUGCUGUGUUGGGCAAGCACACAAUUGUGUUUCCCGCACAAAAAUGCUUUGGUGGUAACACAUAACUGUGUCAUAUGGACAAGGCAUGUCACAUGGUCUUGUCUCCUGAGCACACGACUGUGUCUUAUGGGCCUGACACAAGCCUUAGUCAAGGCUUGUUCAGUUGUUCUAGAGUUUGGCAUUUUUUCCUACUCCACUACCUGAAUUUCCUAUCCCCACUUUCUAAUCACCAUAGAACUCAUGUUAACUCAAAGAGAAAUGUUAUAAAUAAAUUAAAAUCACUAAUGCAAAUAAUAAAAACUAAAAAAGAAUAAAGAAAAAUGGAUGGGUUACCUCCCAUCAAGCACCCUUGUUUUAUGUCCUAGGAUAGACAUUGUCAAUUUUUAAGCACUCAAAUCAGUUUGUCUUCUUAUAGCCUGCUUAGCUCGUUAAAACUUAUCACUAGAAGGGUCACUUAUCCUCCCAAUAACACACAUUUCAUAUGUUCACGUGGCAGUUUGAGCUCCAGUUUUGGUGUCUGCAAACAUAAAGUAAAAGUUCUAUGUCAAAACUAGGAAAGUCAACACACGAUUCAUUGCUCCCUUGAGGUUUAAGUGCCUCCAAUUCGAACACCACAUCUUGUGGAUUCUUUUUAGCAACAAGAUCCUCUUCUAAAAUUUUUAGCCUCAAUUUUUUCCUCAUAUUAUGCAUAAAUGGAUGCAUAUAUAUAUAUAAUAGAUGGAAUUUCUUUGAGAUCCAAGGGUGACUCUAUUAUCCAAUUGGUACUAUUAUGAGAUUAGGAUUUCCAUUAUUACGAGGGGAUACACACAUAGCUAAAACAUGCACAAUGGUCACAAUAGUUCGUCGCUAGGUAACCCAGAACACAACACACACUGCAACCACGUCUGGAAGAGUUUCCAUUCACCCAAAGAUAGGGUUCCCCACACCAUUGAAUUUUAGCCAUACCAAUCUUAAAUGAGUUAACUCUAAAUUUUUGCUUCUUCCAAGUUUUUGUUUUGUUUUCUUUUUCUUCCUAUUCUUGUUAAGAUUGAUAUUUUUAUUUUUUCUAAUAGACUAAUUAUAUUCCAUAAAGACUUUGUACACUUUCUUAGUUAACCUUAUUCUAUAUUUCACGCUAUUCUAAUUCUCCCAAUCUGUCUCUUUUUCAUCCUUAUAGAACUAUUCACUAAUUCCCCUUAAUCAUAUACUUUUUGGUUUAUUGUAAUAUAUUUAGUUAUUAAUUUUUUAUUAUUUAUGUUUUAGUGCUUUUAUUAUUUUUUAGUUUUUAGUUUUAUUAGUUUUAUUUAGAAUUACUAAUUUUAUUUAAGAAUGUGUAUUUUUUUGUUGAUCUUAUUUUAUUUGUGAGAGUUUUUUUGUGUUCAUGAUCUUAUUGGUAAAUAUACACUACUAUUAUUAUUCUACUCAGACUAUUCAACUCAUCAUAUCAUCAACCAUCAUACAAU